rnacentral:rRNA from 2 species
GUGGGUAGUUUGACUGGGGCGGUCUCCUCCUAAAGAGUAACGGAGGAGCACGAAGGUUGGCUAAUCCUGGUCGGACAUCAGGAGGUUAGUGCAAUGGCAUAAGCCAGCUUGACUGCGAGCGUGACGGCGCGAGCAGGUGCGAAAGCAGGUCAUAGUGAUCCGGUGGUUCUGAAUGGAAGGGCCAUCGCUCAACGGAUAAAAGGUACUCCGGGGAUAACAGGCUGAUACCGCCCAAGAGUUCAUAUCGACGGCGGUGUUUGGCACCUCGAUGUCGGCUCAUCACAUCCUGGGGCUGAAGUAGGUCCCAAGGGUAUGGCUGUUCGCCAUUUAAAGUGGUACGCGAGCUGGGUUUAGAACGUCGUGAGACAGUUCGGUCCCUAUCUGCCGUGGGCGCUGGAGAACUGAGGGGGGCUGCUCCUAGUACGAGAGGACCGGAGUGGACGCAUCACUGGUGUUCGGGUUGUCAUGCCAAUGGCACUGCCCGGUAGCUAAAUGCGGAAGAGAUAAGUGCUGAAAGCAUCUAAGCACGAAACUUGCCCCGAGAUGAGUUCUCCCUGAGACUUUAGGUCUCCUGAAGGAACG